ACAUUGCAAUAUUUCCUCUGCUGGGGCGGGCGGCGGCGGGGGAGGCGAGGCGAGGCGAGGCGAGGCGGCAGCUCCGCUCUGCUCCGCUCCGCGCCGGCACACAAUCUCAUGUUACACCGAACCUUGACACAAGGAAGCUACUUCAUUGGGCAUCAGCAUUGUACUGACAAUAAAAUUGUGUCUUCAGCAUGGCUCACCAGAAUCUGCAGGGUUCAUAAAACCUGAACUUUGACAUCUGAUAGGAUGGUCAAUAAAAACUUACCAGCAUUUUGUACAAGAUUUUAAGAUUUCAAAUGCUUUUUUUUUUUUUUUUUUUUUUUUGAGGAAGAGAUUCUAAUAAUUCAGAAAAUCACGAGUAAUCCUCCAGCACCACCACCCUUCCUGGUAUUCCUGUGCCACUGCUGCAGCCAGGGGGGAGACCCAGAGAGGGCAGUGGGAUCAAAGAGCAAUCAUCUGCCUUGCAGCAUCACCCUGACCACAUCCUGCAGCCUUUCAGGUGUGCUGGCAGAUGUGCUUGUUGAACCUGAGAUGCACCCUGGCUCCCCACAGACAGGACAGCAAACCCAGCCAGUGACCCAGCUCCUCGCCUGGACGAGCAGGAAGCUGUGCUGGCGUGAGCCAGAGGAGAAGCCAAACCUCCGUACGCCUCGCAGCCGAGGGGCCUGCAGCUUGCAAAGCCUCACUGCGAGGCCACACGUCCGCUCCACUUCAAGCCAGUUGCUCCUGGGCCACGGUCUGUGAGCUGGGCAACACAUUUCCCAGCACGUUCGUUGGACUGUGUUCACAAUUUGCCCAGUGUCCAAGUUCCACACACCCUGGAAGGCCCCUAGUGCUCACGAAGUGUUGUGGCGGAGGCUGCGGUGCAGGAGGCAGGCAAGGCCCAGCGCGGUUGUGCUCGGCAGCCCUCUGCAGGCACUGCGGGCGAGCGAAGCAGUGGAAGCUCAGGCACUCGUUUGCACUCACAAACAAAAGCCUAAGGCUUGGUACUCCUGCACAUCCCUCGCCUCUUUCAUGCGCCCUGCAGUCAUUGCCUCUUUCCUAAGUCCUGGUUAAAUUGGGCUUCUACUCUCUAAGGAAACAGCCAAUUUAGACAGGCAGUACAGAGCAGCUGUAUCUGCCAGUCUCGAUUUACAAUACCUCCCCUGGCAAAUCGUCAUAGUCUCAGCUACAAGUGUGAUUUAGCUGGCACACCACGAGCAGGGCAGCAGCAUUCCCACAGGCAGCAGGAGCCACUGAAGAGGAGUCAGAGUUGCCACCUACAGCACAAGCCAGGAGGCUUCCCUCACAACUCAUCUGCUGGAUGAAAGCAGCAGCAAUCUGUCCCGCUCCCUCCCUGAAAAGGCCUCACUUCACCCAGUGCUUGGUACAUCAAAGCACCCAAAGCAUCCACGAGCCCCCAGGAAAAGCAGCCCAAAUACAUCAGUGCAGACGCAAGUAUAAAGUCAGAGCAGAGUCCACAGCCACUGAUGCAGAUAAGAAUGAAAAGACAAAAAGAAAGGGAAAAAUAUGUAUUUUUUUAAAAAUCCUUUGCUGCUCUCAUGGUUGGUUCUUGGAGCAAUGGGCUGCAUGGACAGACUGCUUGUCACUGUCACCGUAGGACUGCAGGAGUCACCAGCAAGAGCUGAGGUCUGAGGCGCACCAAGCAGAAAAACCAUCAGAAGAGGUUCAGUUGCAAUCUCUAGAAAUCAGUACUUGGUUGCCAACUCUUCUGCUCUUCAAGGGAAAAGCCACAUUCUGGAGGGAUAAUGCCCUGCCUCAUCCCCAGGUCACCCUCAGGGGCAGCAGAAGCUCCUCAGGGCCAGCAGCGACCUCGUUCGCCCAGCUGCAGCUCUGCCCAGCACAUGAAGGCUGCAGGGCCAGGCUGCGGCUUCCAGAAGUGCUUUGUGAAAGUGAUUUUGGCCAGGGUUACUCGAGUAACAUGGCCACUGAGGAGCCUCAUGCAAAAUGUUUUUAUAAACAUUUAAACCAUUUGUAAACAAGAUUUCAUAACUUGGCAGUCGGACUCGUAUUUUGUUAUUUUCACCCAAAGCACGCUGCUGUGCUGAGAGCUGCCUUCUGCCUCCAUCCAUUACGAUAUCAGAGUCCAAGGGGGAAGUUGCAACGAAGACUUGAAGCUCCUCCUGCAUUUUAUUUUGGAAUUUCUUACUUGUACUUACAAGGGUCACUUGAGGCUGUUUCAUCCGGAAAGGUGGAUGUAUCCUGGUCAGGAGGCACACCACAGGGCACUACACUUUGUCACAAGUGCUGUAACUGCACCACUAUGAAACAAGCUGAGAGGCAACAGGAAUCUGCAGCACUCCUGCUCCUCUGUAGCACCUAUCCCAACUUUUACUUUAUAUUUUCAGGGUCCCAUCAUGUUUUUUUUUUUUUUCUUUAUAUUGUCAAACUCAUCCCCUCAUGUUUUUUGUUUAUAUUGUCAAAUUCAUCUGCGUAACUAUGUGAGGACAGAUGUGACUACAACCAGAAACCAGGCCCACCCUUCAUCACAAAGCACACCUAGGCCUAAACACCAAACCAACAACUCAUUACAACCCCACAAAACAUUCAGAACUGCACCUUCUCCUGCCAGGACAACCAAAUCCCUCCUGGCACUGACAUCCCUCACUUGCAUAUUAAAUACAGACACAGAUCAGCUCUUACCUGCUGCUUGGCCACAAGAAGCACCAUGCUCACACCCUACCAACCCCAGCACACAGCCUGGUCCCUGAAGGAAGGAGGCCAUCCAUGCCUGGUGAUUGCAGACCAGGCUCACCUGGGGGCACCCAGCCCAUGCUUCUCCUCUCAUAGGCCUGCCACUGGGAUAAUGAGGUCUGCCUAAUUGCUUGUUACACUGCCCUUCCUUUUGCCUCGUCUCUAGGCUGCAGGUGGGCUGAGAGAAAGGGAUGUCCUAUGGCACAAGGUAAGGCUGUGCUACAAAAGCUCUCCUUGCCUCCUGCCUGACUUCCCUUCGGGCUGCUGUGCCUUUUGCACUUAGCUGUGUACUGCUGCAUUGAUCCGAUCCAGCUUUAGCCCCACAGCUCACCUCCUGUAAGGAGGCAAAAAUGGGUCACGACAAGGCCUCCAGGGCCUGUGGAGAGCCUGGAAGGAGCGGAGCAAAGCUUGCUGCAAAUGCAGGAGGGCAGGGGCUGUCUAUUAUUCUACUUGUAGUAGUCACAGCUAUAGGUGAAGAAUACCACCAAAAUGGCUGUGAGGGUUGAGCUGGCCCUUCUCAACACCCCACCAGCCAGCUCACCCACCGGCUGGCUGUUCCCACCAGAAGGCCCUGAGUCUGCCUGGUGGCCGCAGUCCAAGGCCUGUUCGCAGCACUUCAGCCAUGACACAGCCACCUCCUGCCACAGCACGGCCACGAGCAGAGGAAAUGAGAUGGUUCUGGCUCUUCCCCAGCACACUGCUCGCCCACCAGUACUCCAUCAGGUCACUUCAGCUCACAUCUCUCUGACUGCCCUUCUGUAACCCAACGCUGGGCUCUCCCUGCACCCACGGGACCAGCCCCCCUCCUUGUGCUUGGGCAAUGGGAGCUGUGAGAUGGGCUCCAUAUCUGGAGCCAGGGCACAGAGCUGGCCUCAGAGCCACGUCUGGUCGGCACAGCACAGUCCCCAGCACCCUGCUGCAGGACCCUGGUGGCUGAUAGCCCCAUGUGGCUCUCGCCUUGGAGAUGGGUAGUGAUGUCCUGGCUGCAUGUAAGCUGGGAGGUCUGGCAGCCAUCAUCUUUGUUCCUAUCAGUUUUCACUUGAGAAAUGAAAAGGCUCACUUCUCGUACACCACAUUGGCCUAUAUAAAUAAUAAUGAACUCUCCAGUCUUGGGCACCUGUUCCAGAUGCUGCAUCCACAGAGUGCAAAGACUUGCUGCGUGGCAAGGAGCUGACUUUUGCCUUCGCAGUCAGUGCCCAAGACAUUUUUCUGGGUCAUUAACAGUAAACCUUAUGGCAGUGCAUAAGCCUGCGUUUGGUGUGGCCACCCUUUGCCACCGCCCAGCAGGUGUGCUGCAGCCCCAGUGCUGCAUGGUCCCCGUACGACUGGCAGCAGAGGACUGCAGAGAGAAGAGAGGACCACCAGCGAAACAUAGUGCAGCUGCCUCCAUGUCUCCAUGCUCGGGGCAGAGCUGCUGCGAGCCCCAAGUCCAGCGUUGUUUCAGAAGAUACAGGCAACCUGUCUACACAUGGCAAUAGAUUAUUAAAAAAUGUUCACUGUUUCAAUUAACACAUCAAAAAAGUUCAUGUGACAGUGAAUAUCAACAUGAUGUAUGUGCAGAUGUAUAAACCCAUGUAUGAAAGACAUUUGUCAGGAAGCGUGAGAUGUAAAUCUUUGGAAAAGGAUUAAAUUAAUUUUAAAUGCAC